rnacentral:rRNA from 1 species
UACGUAGGGUGCGAGCGUUACUCGGAAUUACUGGGCGUAAAGCGUGCGCAGGCGGCUAUUUAAGCUUGCUGUGAAAGCCCCGGGCUUAACCUGGGAACUGCAGUGGGGACUGGAUGGCUGGAGUGUGGCAGAGGGGGGUGGAAUUCCACGUGUAGCAGUGAAAUGCGUAGAGAUGUGGAGGAACACCGAUGGCGAAGGCAGCCCCCUGGGCUAACACUGACGCUCAGGCACGAAAGCGUGGGGAGCAAACAGG